UUGAAGCCACUCAUUUGAUUUCUGUCACUGGAAAUUAGUUUAGCCUGUCCUAGAAGUGAUUUCAUGGUAAUGGAGUAGUAUAGUGCAAUCUCUUUUCUGGGGCUUCUUUGGAAUAAUGAUCUUCAAGAGUCAUCUAACCUUUUGCAUAUUUCUGAAAUAUUUGACUUUUAGUCCUAAAUCACAGUUUUUAUAUACCUGUGGUUAUCCAUUUAUUUCUUGAUAUAAUUUUUUCUAUUUAUGAAUGAACUAGUGUACAAUUUUUGUAUAAACUUUUUUUGGUUUUUAGUUUUUGUUUGUUAUGUUUUUUCCUUUCUUUUUCUUUUUCUUUUUUAAGAUUCCUUUAUGUAACAGCCCUGGCUGUCCUGGAACUCACUUUGUAGACCAGGCUGUCCUGGAACUCACAGAGAUCCAUCUGCAUCUGCUUCCCAAGUGCUGGGAUUAAAGGUGUGUGCCACUACUGCCUAGCUCCAUGUAUUUUUAGUUUUUUUGAAAUUUAUUUUUUUGGGGGGUAAUAUCUAGGACUAAAAUUAUUGGGUUACACUAUAAGCAUCUGGAUAAUAUUGUCAGAAAAUGGGAAACUACCUUCCAAGUGGUGGUACAUUUCUGCACUCCUGUAAGAAGUGUUUGGUGUUGCUUUGCAUUGUCUGAAACACUUUGCCAGUCUCUGACAGACUUCCCUGUCCCAGUGUAUUCACAACUCAUUGUGGCUUUAAUCACAUUUCUCUGGGAACUGAUGCUGCUCACCACCUUUCCUUGUACAUUUUUUUUUUUUUUUUGUAUAUGCCUAUUUUUAAACUGAUUUGUCAAUGUAUUACUUUGAGGCUUUUUGUAAUUUUGGUCAUUAAAUCCCUGUUAGUUAUGAUUCUUCCAGUCUUUGUCUAGCCCUUUCAAUACCCUAACAGUCCUUUGAAGGUUUUAGUUUUGAUGAAAUACUACUACUCAGUAUUAACUUUUGUGACUAAAGCAUCUUCAGUCUUCUCCAAAAACAUCUAUUUUUGUUUUACUGUAUUGACAAAUUUUGUAGUUUUAGAUUUUCCAUUUAGUUCUUAUAGCCACUUUAAAACUUGAAAUACUAGUGUUAAGUCUUAAAAAAGUCUUCUAUUAUUCUGUAGUAGGACUGGUCAUCAGUAGAGCACUUUCCUAGCGUGUGUUAAGACCCCAGAAUUUAAUCCCCAGUGAAAAUUUCAAAACAAAACAAAACAAAGCAGCAUUGUAGCUGCCCCAGUGCUGUUUAUAGCUGUCAGUUAUCACUGACUUGGUUGAAAAUCAUUUGAUCACUUUUUAUUGUAUGUGUGUGUUCUGUGUUUCUUAAUUUUUUUCCUAUUUUUCUAUUUCAUGUUUUAGUUUUUCCAAGUUUAUGUCUUGAAAUUAGAUUAUGUCAAUUUGGUUUUUCUUAAAAUAUUAUUUUGCCUAUUUUAGGUGUUUACAUUUUCAUGUAUGUAUCUGUUAAGGAAGCUCAUCAUUUUUACUUCAAAGCAGUUUGAUAGAGUUUAGUUGACUAUUGUUUUAUUUUAAAAAACUUUUUUUUUUUAAAUUAAGGAAACUGUAUUCUGUAACAUGGGUUAUCACAUGAAGUUAUUUUUUUUUUGAUUUUUAGAAUUAACAUAUGGUAAAAUUUGUUUCCUUUUAGCUUACAACAUUUUAAUAUCUGUGUUAUUCUUAACUACAUUCAUGAUGCCUGUUUUUCUUGUCCUAAAUGUACUGGUCUGUUCUCUGAUGUUGUAAUCAGUUUCUCUUUUUGAAAUUGUAGUCAAUUAUAAUAAUAACAGUGUGCAUGCCAGCUCUCUGUAGCCAUAUUGAGAUUUGAUUCAAUGUUGUAUUAUUAUAGUAUAUGUUCAUCUGCUUAUUUGGUCAGUAGCAUUGUGUAAUAUAUUUAUGUUCUUUGUAUUUCUUGGAAAAAUAAUGAUUAGGAUGAUUAUGAAUAUUUUUGUACAUUUUUGUAAGAAUAUUAGGCAACUGAGUCAGAGACAGUUCCUGCUCCAUUGUUAGGGGAUCCACAUGAAUGCCAUGCUGCAUAGCCACUGCAAGUGUGUAAGGGGCCUAGGUUCAGCCCUUGCAUGCUCUUUGGUUCAUGGUUCAGUCUCUGUGAGUGAGGUCCAUUGGUCCAGGUUAGUUGACUCUGUAGGUCUUUUGUGGUGUCCUUGACCACACCAGCUCACUUAAUUUUAUCCCCCUCUUUCACUGACUCCCUGAGCUCCACCUGAUGCUUGGCUGUGGUCUCUGCAUCUGUUUCCAUUCGCUGCUGGAUGAAGCCUCUCAGGAGGCAGUUAUGCUCCUGUCUGAAAGCAGAGCAGAGCAUCACUAGUAGUCAGGGAUCAGCUCUCUCUCUCACGGGAUGGGUCUCAAAUUGGGGCAGGCAUUGGUUAGCUGUUCCCUUAGUUUCUGUUCCAUUUUUAUCCCUGUACAUUUUGCAGGAGGGACAGAUUUUAUGUGGAAGGUUUUGUGAGUGGGUUGAUGUCCCCCUCCUUCCACUAGAAGUUCAGCCCUGGCUACAGGAGGUGCCACUUCAGUCUCUAUAUCCCUUUCUGGUAGGAAUCUCAGCUAGGGUCACCGCCAUAGACUCCUUGUUAGCCUCCCUACUUUUCUUUUUUAAAAAAUCUACCUUCUAAGUGUAUGGCAACAUGAAGAGACAGUUGUAGACGUGGACUCUGUGUAGUUGUAGGACAGAAAAAAAUAUACCUAGG
rnacentral:lncRNA from 1 species